rnacentral:lncRNA from 1 species
UAGCGACAAAAUAUUUUUUUCAUCGUAAAAUAUUAUCAAUGAUGCGAUUAUUUGCAAUAAAAUAUUUACGAUAAAAAUUUCUUCGUUAAUUACUAUUAGCGAUGAAAAUUUUACCGUUAAUAGUGUCGUUAAUAACUAUUAGCGAUGAAAAUAGAUUAUUAAUGAUGAAAAUUUUUUAUCACUAAUAAUCUAUUUUGUUGUAGUAUAUCAUUGGAUCGUGCAUAGAAC